rnacentral:rRNA from 1 species
AUGAACGCUGGCGGCGUGCCUAAUACCUGCAAGUCGAGCGAACGGACGAGAAGCUUGCUUCUCUGAUGUUAGCGGCGGACGGGUGAGUAACACGUGGAUAACCUACCUAUAAGACUGGGAUAACUUCGGGAAACCGGAGCUAAUACCGGAUGAUAUUUUGAACCGCAUGGUUCAAAAGUGAAAGACGGUCUUGCUGUCACUUAUAGAUGGAUCCGCGCUGCAUUAGCUAGUUGGUAAGGUAACGGCUUACCAAGGCAACGAUGCAUAGCCGACCUGAGAGGGUGAUCGGCCACACUGGAACUGAGACACGGUCCAGACUCCUACGGGAGGCAGCAGUAGGGAAUCUUCCGCAAUGGGCGAAAGCCUGACGGAGCAACGCCGCGCGAGUGAUGAAGGUCUUCGGAUCGUAAAACUCUGUUAUUAGGGAAGAACAUAUGUGUAAGUAACUGUGCACAUCUUGACGGUACCUAAUCAGAAAGCCACGGCUAACUACGUG